CGCUAGUGGUCCAGUGGGUAAAGAAAUUUUAAACGCACAUGCACUUUUAAUACCCAUUUUAAUUUAACAUUUGUUGUACCGCCAGAUAAUUUUACAAUCACACUGGAAAUAUAGCAUAAACUGGUCUAUAAAAUAGCAAUGACAACAAAACCUCAAAUCAGUGGCUCGUUUGUAUGAUUAAGAACCACGCGGAUGGAUUGAUAACAACCGCACAAUAUAUGGGUUAGCAGGGAUGGCAGAAGACUCCAACUCCAUGAAAGCCGUGGAAAAAGAGUUGAAAGAUAAUCCAGGCUCGAGUGAUGAUGCACUUGUAGUAAAGCUCAAGAAAAAGAAAGUAAAGGCCAAAGGCAAGGUGAAGCCUCAGCAUGAAGGGAAGGAGAAAACACACA